rnacentral:lncRNA from 1 species
GCAGAUCAAGAUGCCCUGAGGGCAAAGAGCAGAGGGGUGCUCUCUGGUGGCCCAGCAGUUCUGCCCCAGGGGAGAGGUUUCUCUUUUACUACCGCGAAAACCCACAGGACGCUGCUUCAUCCCAGAGCCAAGGAUACCAGGAAGGAAGGUCAGAGUGAGGAGGUGUCUGAGUGUUUCAGAUCACACAGUGACAUACUGCUUGAUGGCUUCAGAAAUCCUUCAUGAGCUGGGAGACAGCCCCAGAGGUGACAGGUUCUACAAGAGCAGUCUGAAAUGCCACCUCCCAAGAAACCUCCAUGCAACUUCCCAAGCAGAAUGAGUCACCCCCUCUUCUGCCCUUUCAUAGCCCCAACCAUCUCGAGGACAACACAUCAGCAGCAGCAGCCACGUAGAUGUUUGUUUCUGUACCUGGAUUCUAAGUGCCUGAAGGACUGGACAUAUCUGGUUUCUAAGUUCCAGGAGGACUGGACACAUCCAUCACCCACGUGUAAACCCAGCACCUAGCACAGUGCCUGCCAUACGAUAGGGUUUAAGACGCAUGGGAGGAAUCUAAUCAUCAGACUACCAAAGGGCUGCUAGAACUCAGAAAGGGAUCCCCAUCAUUUGGGGGAUGGGAUAAAGGUCUUCAUUUCUGUUCUUUCCAGCACCAACCUCCAUGGCUCCACUCAUCCCUGCUCCUUCCUCCUAUUAAGAUUGGCUGGUCAGGAGAGGGGUAGGGGCAGGAGCAGCUAUACCUGGUCUCCUCCACCAUCCACGGUGGGGUGCACUCUUGGUGGGACCUGGUGAGCAUGACAGCACCUGGGCCUAGGGGACCUGGAGCCUCCACAGACCCACAGAGAGCAAGAGGAGCUGUUCAGCCACUUGCAGAGACAGCCAGAGAGUGCUUCAAGGACUGCAAAAAUCGAUAUACUUGAAAAGCCACGGUGGCAGGAAUUGGUCAUCACCCACCAGGAUUCUACACUGCCCUACAGGUGAUCCCAACUGAGGUUGCCAGAGGAACAGGAUGUGGAAUGCAGUCGCGUUUCAGAGAGGAACCUAAAGUCAGAAUGGACCAGGGGUCUUGCCCUGACCUCUGCCUCUUCACCCAAC